rnacentral:lncRNA from 1 species
CCCUUUAAUCCACUGUACAUGCUCGUUGAUGACACCGAUAAUCCCUCCAUUUUGGUGUUGUAUUGCGCGCUGGAACUAUUGUGGAUCGGAUGGUUUGUUGAUACAAGAAGCUAAGGAAGUUGUAUAAAAGCAACGCGGAGAUUUGAUGUAAUAUCGCGUACUGAAACUAUUGUGGAUGUUCCUAUGAGAAAGGUUAUGCUAUAGCGCGAUGGUCUGUUGAUACAAGAAGGAAGUUCUGUAAAAGCAACGCGGAGAUUUGAUGUGUGGAAGUGAUGAAAAAAGAGGCAAUGAAUUUCGGUGUUAUAUAUAUCGCGUACUGGAACUAUUGUGGAUGUCGUAUGAGAAAGGUUAUGCUAUAGGGCGAUGAUUUGUUGAUACAAGAAGGAAGUUGUGUGAAAGGGAUGAAAAAAAAAGGCAAUGAAUUUCGAUGUUAUAUCGCGUACUGAAAACUACUGUGGAUGUUCGUGCGAAAAAGGUUAUGCUAUAGCGCGAUGAUUUGUUGAUACAAGAAGGAAGUACUGUAAAAGCAACGGGAAGAAUUGUGAGUGUUUAUAGAAAAACGUGGGGGUGGGN